AAGGCCAGGGAUCGAACCUGAGACCUCAUGGUUCCUGGUCAGAUUCGUUUCCACUGAGCCACAAUGGGAACACUUAGGAAUUUUACCUUUUGACUAGAAACAUCUCUGACAUCUAACAGGGUGCCUACAUGGGAUGGGAACUCAGACGUCAUCUGUAGAAGUCAAUGUAACCCAACUGCAUCAGCGUGCAAUGAUAAGGCAGGAACGCCCAUGAGCAGGCAGGCCGUGUGGCCCGGGGUCAGAGGUGGGCGCCCUCUGGAAUCAGGCUGCCACUUCUCAGCUUCACGAUUUGGAACCCAAGAAGAAGUCAUUAGAGUCCACUGUGUCUCCAGGGAACGAUUUUGUAUUUGUGUUUUUACAUAUGGGCUAUGUUUUCUAUGUCGUGCAUCUUAUCAGCCUCCUAGACACCAUAUUUUUUAUGUGCGUCCUCUGAAACCAUGUCUGUUUUACGCUAACACAUAUAUGAUUGUCCUUCUUAUGAAAAGAAUAAAGAGAACUCAACUUUC